UGUUCUGUGGCUUAGUUGGUUAAAGCGCCGGUCUAGCGAAUACGGAGACGUGGGUUUGAAUCCCACCAGAACGC
rfam:Aedes albopictus isolate Foshan contig88747, whole genome shotgun sequence.